ACUCAAAUGAAUUGACGGGGACCCGCACAAGCAGUGGAGCAUGUGGUUUAAUUCGAUGCAACGCGAAGAACCUUACCCAGACUUGACAUGUAGUAGACCGCUCUAGAAAUAGAGCUUUCCUUCGGGACUGCUACACAGGUGCUGCAUGGCUGUCGUCAGCUCGUGCCGUGAGGUGUUGGGUUAAGUCCCGCAACGAGCGCAACCCUUAUCAUUAGUUGCCAACACGUUAUGGUGGGAACUCUAAUGAGACUGCCCGGGUUAACCGGGAGGAAGGUGAGGAUGAUGUCAAGUCCGCAUGGCCCUUAUGUCUGGGGCUACACACGUGCUACAAUGGCCGGUACAGAAGGUGGCGAAGCCGCGAGGUGAAGCAAAUCCGCUAAAGCCGGUCCCAGUUCAGAUUGGAGUCUGCAACUCGACUCCAUGAAGUUGGAAUUGCUAGUAAUGGCGUGUCAGCUACAACGCCGUGAAUACGUUCCCGGGUCUUGUACACACCGCCCGU
rnacentral:rRNA from 1 species